rnacentral:tRNA from 1 species
UCUAAUAUGGCAGAAUAGUGCAAUGGAUUUAAGCCCCAUUCAAAAAGCCAAAGCUUUUUUUAGAA